AAGAUCACAAGAUAAAUCUGGAUUUCAUGUGGGUGCAUACCUGUCACGUUCAACCAUCAAAGAUGGUUAAGAAAAGUUAAAGGCAAAUUAUGGGGAAAAAGAGAAGAAAUUGGCUAAAAGUCAAAUUCGAGUCAAAUUUGACCGAAAUUUGAAUUUUGAAUUCUAAAUUCAGAAAAAUUUGGCAAAAAUAUGAAAUGGAAGCUUGAGAGUGUUUAGAACUUUGGGGAAUCAAGAUUGGAGACAAAACCUAGUCCUAAAC
rnacentral:lncRNA from 1 species